CUGUAGAAAUGCUUUGUGAUGUGUGGAUUCAUCUCACAGAAUGGAAGCUGUGUUUUGAUUCACCAAGCCUGAAGCACUCUUUUUGUAAAAUCUAUGAAGGGA